AGGGUAUUAUCUUAAUGGUAAAGAAGAGCAUUACGGCCGCUAAGAUAUAGGUUCAAAUCCUAUAUACCCUUC